AAAGCUCGUAGUUGAACCUUGGGCCUGGCUGGCCGGUCCGCCUCACCGCGUGUACUGGUCCGGCCGGGCCUUUCCCUCUGUGGAACCUCAUGCCCUUCACUGGGCGUGACGGGGAAACAGGACUUUUACUGUGAAAAAAUUAGAGUGCUCCAGGCAGGCCUAUGCUCGAAUACAUUAGCAUGGAAUAAUGAAAUAGGACGUGCGGUUCUAUUUUGUUGGUUUCUAGGACCGCCGUAAUGAUUAAUAGGGACAGUCGGGGGCAUCAGUAUUCAAUUGUCAGAGGUGAAAUUCUUGGAUUUAUUGAAGACUAACUACUGCGAAAGCAUUUGCCAAGGAUGUUUUCAUUAAUCAGGAACGAAAGUUAGGGGAUCGAAGACGAUCAGAUACCGUCGUAGUCUUAACCAUAAACUAUGCCGACUAGGGAUCGGACGAUGUAAAUAAUUGACUCGUUCGGCACCUUACGAGAAAUCAAAGUGUUUGGGCUCCAGGGGGAGUAUGGUCGCAAGGCUGAAACUUAAAGAAAUUGACGGAAGGGCACCACCAGGGGUGGAGCCUGCGGCUUAAUUUGACUCAACACGGGGAAACUCACCAGGUCCAGACACAAUGAGGAUUGACAGAUUGAGAGCUCUUUCUUGAUUUUGUGGGUGGUGGUGCAUGGCCGUUCUUAGUUGGUGGAGUGAUUUGUCUGCUUAAUUGCGAUAACGAACGAGACCUUAACCUGCUAAAUAGCCCGUAUUGCUUUGGCAGUACGCUGGCUUCUUAGAGGGACUAUCGGCU
rnacentral:rRNA from 1 species